ACAUUGCAUAAAGCGCCAGAGCUGCAGUAUUUCAGCAGUUGACGAGGAGAAGGAGGUCACAUGUAGUAUUGGAGGGACAAAUCUUUUAAAGCCCAAUGAACAUGUGAAUUAUCGAAAAUUCGGCGGAAACCUUCUGGUCUACCAUGAUCACUAAAGACUUUACAAAUAUUACAGGUAACUGUAUAACAAAAUAAGUCUUAAAUGGUUAU
rnacentral:ncRNA from 2 species